CGGGAUAGAGUUUUGGUUGGUGGGUAUUGCCGAAAUCAAGAACUUGAUGGUGUACGUAGGCACGCAAUUUAGAUAGAUUCAGGCCGCUAGGUCGCGUAAUACCCUACGUCCUGUGUGUCAUUUUCUUGUAAUGGAUUGAACUUGUUUGGAGGGGGUCUCUACCCACCCUUAUAUAUCAGGAGAGCAGGGUUACAGGUACAGGAAUACUAGUCGGAUUCGACUAGAGAGUCCUACUCUAACUGUUACGAGUAGUUUUCCGAGUCUUUGACUAGUUUCUAUCUUCCACGUAGACUACACCGUCCUGCACUGUAGUCUUUAUAUUUGCCACGUCUCGGUGCGCAACCCUGUAUACGGAUCUAUCCAAACCCCCUGUACAUCGUGGCAGGC
rnacentral:lncRNA from 1 species